GCCAUGUGAAUGCUGAUUGAUUGAUUGAUUGAUUAAUGAAUGACCUUUCAAGAAGAGGAGACCCACCAGGAAGUCUUUUGUGGGGUUCCCAUUCUCUGUCACUUGCUCAUUCUCUAUUUCAAAAGCCAUCCCACCAGGUGUCUCCCUCGUCCUUCUCUUCCUUCCCCCUCUCCUACAGCCUCCUCCCAACCUCUCCUUGGCCCAGCCUUCCUGCCUAUCUCUGUCCUUUCCUGUCAUUCAAGCCACAACCCUGGAGAACCUUCUCCAGCUUCUCAGAAGGGAGAGGCUGACUUCCAACAGGGUUCAUCUGUUUUAAAUGAGACACUCCAUCCCAGAUGCAAACCAUUAUCUCAAGACCCCCUUUCCUCAUGUGGAACAGAAGAGUAUCAGGGGCCUACAUAUUCCCCCAUGUGACUGUCCUCCAGUCUCAGGAAACACAGAAGGCCGAGAUCUUGCUCCCAGAGGGCGAUGGGGGCAGCAGGUCCUAGGUCCUAGGGAUCAGGAGUGCUGAGUUCUUUCUGGUGGUCCUUUGGCUGCUGUGUAAAACUGAGGACAGCCAGGUACUGGAUGAGAGGUUGGCUUGAGGGUCUACAUUCCGGGUUCUACAUUGAGGUUCUACAUUCCGGGCCCUGUGGCCUCUGGCGUUCCCACCUGGAUUGUGGCAGCCUCCUGUGGGGCAGGGGAGAAGAUUCCACGGAGAACAGGAUCAGAGUGAUUGUGCAGUGGGGAGGGGGUUGUGUGGAAAGAGGCCUUGAUUCCAGCUGCCUGAGCUGAAGCCCAUGCAGUCCAGCCAAGGGGGCUGGGACGUUUCCUCAUGGGACCCACGCUGACUGGGGCACUGGGAGGCCCACAGGAGGUAUCACACGGGCGGCCUUCCUCAGGGGACGACUGCCAAGCCUCCUUAGAAAGGAAAGGCUUGCUCAAGCAGGCCAUAUUCACACACACGAGGCGCGUAAGGGAUGUGCAGACAAUCCAAGGACGGUGAAGAACUGGCCACUCCAGCACCACAGUGACUGGUUAAGUCCACAGAAGCAAGAAAAAGACACAGACUGCCCCCUGCCUGGAUACCACCACCUCACCGACCUCCGCGGGCCCAGAGCCCGUCCCUGCUUCCCCAACUCGGCAGUGGACAGCACCUGUGCCCCGAUCUUCGUAUCUCAGUGUUUAACCCAGGGCUUCGCCUAAACGUGUGCUCAAUACAGAUUUCAGGUGCUUAGUGUCAACGUAAUGAUUUGAUAUUUGUAUAUACUGUGAAAUGAUCACUACAAGAAGUCUAAUGAAUGUCCAUCACCACAUACAGGUGGUCACCUUCCUGCCCCAGGCUGUUGUAGCCAGUACCUCGGUGCCCUUCAGUCUAUCGGCCUCUUGAUCAGGAAGCAUUCCCGUGGGAACCAUGGUGCCAACAUCCGGUGAGGACGGGGCCUACUAGCCUUGCUAUCAACCCAAGAACAAAGGAGCUUGGUGCCUGCCGCUCGGCAGGCUGUGUUUGUCCAGGGCGAGGCCUAGCCUGGCACAGAUGCUGAGCAAACAGGAGUGCCGGCCUCACAGAUCUGCCUUACAACGAGCAGGCCUUUGGCGGAGAGGUAUUGCUCUCAGGCCACCUGCCAAAACACUACCCUUCCCAAUGCCAACCAGCACCCCAGGGCAGGGGGGACUGUAGGGCAAGCAGUCCUGUCCCUAAGCCUCAAGCUUUCUAGCUCUACAAUGGAACAGUUGUAUAAGAUGAUCUCCAAGAUCCCUUCUGUGGUCUAGAGCCUUGAAUGAUGUUGCGGGAAGUUCCUAGGGCUUGAGAAGAGAUCCGAGGUAGAAUCUGGGCCUUUGUCUCAUGGCAUCCCCUGCCUUAGCCCCAUGUAUCCACACAUGUCUGUGGCUGGGAGGAUGGACCUCUCUCAGAGGAAUGUCUUCAAGUACCAGAUCCAUGACUUCAUUUGCUCUAAUGGAGCUUCCAGGACUGAAACUAAGGUAUUUCAUGAUCAAAGGAUUAAGUAUGACCAUCUUGUUUCUGAGGCCACCUAGUAUGUGAUCCCUUACUUUCUGCCCCCCAGAAAUCUUAGUGUAGCUGGGGAAGACUCAGAGGGCCCAUGGAGGGAUGUUUCUCCAACUAGGACAGUGAAAGGCUACACGGUGAUAUUCACAGACUUCAGCAUGCAUCAGAAGCACCCGGAAUGCUUAUUUAAGAUACAGAUUCCUGGGCCCUAUAUCCCAGAGAUUGAGUCCCAAGGUCCAAGGUGGAAUGGGUAGCUCAGGAUUCUGAGUUUUUAACAAGCACCUAGGUGAUCUUUAGGUCUCUGAUGAAGUGGAAUGAGUGAGUCUAAAAGCUAUACAGUCCUGGAUUCAAAUCCUACCUCUGUCACUUAUUUGCACUAUGACUUGGGGCAAGUCCCUAAGCCAUUCUACACGUCAAUUUUGUUUGUAAAAUGAGGUUAUAAUAACAUCUACCGCUUAAUAAACAAAAGCUAUUAUUUCAGAGUGUUUAUUGCACUUUGUAAAUGUUUGUCAAGCAAAGGAGGUAGAAGUUCAUUGUCAAUCCAGAAACCCAGGGGUUCUCCAUCUACCACAUCUCUCUCAAACACUCAGUCACAAAUCUCAUGAAUUCUACCUCCUAAAACAUCUAAGACCUGCCCACUUUUCUCCAUCCCCACAGCCUCCACCCUAGUCCAAGCCACCACCUGCUUCUACCUGACGACUGCACAGUCCUCUCUCCAUCUCCCUACUUCCACCCUUGCCUCCUCCCCUUCUUUCCAGGGCAGCCCUGCUAAUCUGAUAUGGCAAUGCCUCUGCUUCAAGCUCCAGCUCUCAGGAAGGCCUUGAGUCUAAAAACAACUCUUUUGGUCCCCCACACCUACUUCUAAGCCUCCUUUCAGCUCCUCUCGGCCUCUAACUCUACACUCAAGAUAUUCUGAACUUCUUUCAGAUUCCUUUAGUGAAUAUCCGUUUCUCUUGCCACAGGGACUUCAUGCAAAGUGUGUUCCCUGUGUCUGAAACAGCCACCCCACCCCCAUCCUGUCCCCAAACACACAUCUUUCACCUACUACUCAUUUUUCAUCUUUCAGAUGAAAUGUCAUUUACUCAGGGCCAGACGUAGCCAUUCCCCUCACAGGUGCUGUGGCAACUCUGUCCUUCCUCCAUAAUCACACCUGUUAUACUCUGUUGUGAUGACUUCAUGCCAGCCUCCAUCAGUAAACUAACUCCAAGAGAAUGAAAAAUCUGUUGCUGUAGCAGCAGCAGUAAUAGAGUCUAUGCUCAAAGGACGACGAAAUACCCUGCUGAAUGAAUGAAUAAAUAAAUAAAUGAGCAGAAGACCCUGGUCGCAGGAUGUGUUGCAGAUGGGCGUCCCCUUGAUAGUGCCUCAACUCAGUUUAGGAUAUGGACGUGCCUGGAGAGAAGACAGCCACGUGGGGGCGUCUCUGGGCAGGUACAGGCCACAGGGGGGCGCCCUCAGCUCGUCGUAUGUGACUGGCACCUCUUUAGAUUCAGGUUCGGUUACUAAUGGCCAAUGGGAGAUAGGAGGCGAGGUUUUCCUCUGAUUGACAGUAUCGCUCCGCCCAAUCUAAUUCAUCUUUUUCUUGGCUCC